ACUUUCAAAGGAAAACAGUUCUCCACUAAUUUUAGGCAUUAGACAGAUCUUGGCGCAACUCCAAGUGAAAGUA
rnacentral:tRNA from 1 species